rnacentral:misc_RNA from 1 species
AAUUCUCAACUCUCCUCAGAUUCCAUCUGUAUGGUGAGCUUGGACUUGGAGGUUUUCUGCUGGCGUUUGCCGGCUCCUCUUGAAAUCAUUAGCCUUGAGUUGAUCUUGAUGGCUUGACCGGUGUGAUAAACAUCUUACGCUGAUUCAUGCUGUCCUGAGCGACGACGUCGGAGACGCUCUGGCUUAUAACCGUCCAUCGACGGACAACGCUCUGAAC